GCAGCAGCCGCGGGAAUACGUAGGGUGCGAGCGUUAAUCGGAAUUACUGGGCGUAAAGCGUGCGCAGGCGGUUCGUUAAGACAGAUGUGAAAUCCCCGGGCUUAACCUGGGAACUGCAUUUGUGACUGACGGGCUAGAGUAUGGCAGAGGGGGGUAGAAUUCCACGUGUAGCAGUGAAAUGCGUAGAGAUGUGGAGGAAUACCGAUGGCGAAGGCAGCCCCCUGGGCCAAUACUGACGCUCAUGCACGAAAGCGUGGGGAGCAAACAGGAUUAGAUACCCCAGUAGUCCCUGUCUCUUAUAC
rnacentral:rRNA from 1 species